CCUGAAGAGCUCAGAUACUCGCCAGGCUGUGACAUUUUGCAUUAAAUAUCUGAGGCCACCGAAGGGGGGACACUCGGGGCUGUUUGUGACACACAAAAACACCAGCAGUGCCCAGGGUCAGAGCCGGGGACUCGGGCCAAGUUCAGAAAUCAGACACCGCGCUGACCCCGCUGCUGUGACACCGCACAGGGCACAGCUCAGCCCGGGCACACACCGCCACCUGUCCUGGUCCACAGAGAGGUCCUGGCUCUGGAACACCCUGAAAAUACCUCCCUGGCGGGCUCACCAGAGCGGUAGAUUGUUCCUGGAGGAGCAAAGAGUCCGCAGGCACCGAGUGUUUGGAAGGGACACGCAGUGAAAGAUGAAGAAGGAAACGGAGGAGGAAGCAAUGGGAAAACUGCAGCUCCCACUUCCAGCUGGUGCCAAGAGGAGGAUCAGGGAUGUGUGUUUGUAACCUUAUAUUGUGGCCUGAACUUCAAAAAUGAGCUACAACCACUCCCAGAGCUCCAGGAAAGAGUUUUUCCUCCUCCAAGGUAAUGCCAGAGGCUCACCUUGCUGUUUGCAUCACUGCAGUGCUCAGAAAUGGACUUUUAUUUCAUUUUCUCAUUGUUACAAGCACUCUGGCUGUACGAGCUGCACUCAAAAGGGUGUUAUGGCAAAACUAAAACUGAGAUUUGCAUCUUUACGCUCCUGACACGGCCAACAAUAGGAAGUUGCUACCCAGAAAUAAAGGUUUGUAACAACCAUUAGCCAAAUAAACAGGGAAAUACUG